CCCUUAGAUGUUCUGGGCCGCACGCGCGCUACACUGAUUCAUGCAACAAGUUUUGUCCUUGGCUGAUAGGCCUGGGUAAUCUUUGAACGUGAAUCGUGAUGGGGAUAGAUGAUUGCAAUUAUUCAUCUUCAAUGAGGAAUUCCUAGUAAACGCAAGUCAUCAGCUUGCAUUGAUUACGUCCCUGCCCUUUGUACACACCGCCCGUCGCACCUACCGAUUGAAUGGUCCGGUGAAAUCUUCGGAUCUGAGAGAUGUCUGAUUAAUUUCGGACGCCUUUUGGAAAAGUUGCUUAAACCUUACCAUUUAGAGGAAGGUGAAGUCGUAACA
rnacentral:rRNA from 1 species